ensembl:lncRNA
UGGUACUAAUUGAACAAGAAGCCUACAAAUUAAGUCUUGCAUUAUCCCUGUUUUUUGCUGGAAUGUUCAUUGGAAAUACCACAUUUGGCCUUCUGUCAGUUAAAUUGGGCAGGAAACCAGUGUAUAUUUCAGGUAAGAUUGUUAAAAGUUUUUUCUUAAGUAUUCUACAUAGAAAACAUCUUUCUUGCCUGCCCCUGGGCCACCCUGCUGAAAUGCUGCUCCUGGGUCCCUUGCUCUGUCAGUGACCUUUUUGAGCAUUUCACACAGAGUGGAAGAGCACUGAAACUGGUUAGUGCCAAUGUGCUGAGAAGCACAGAGGUCAUGGAGUAUUAGUGGGAGGUGAAAAAACCUGGUUUUGCCAUGGCUGUCUCUAUUGGAGCAUAGUAUUCCACACAUUACCUAACUAUAUUGUUCCAAAUAAAAAAGCUUUACCUAAGCAUCUUCAGGAGUGGGAUAAUCAUGUCCUGGUGUUUUGUUUUCCAGCUGGGUUUGCAAACAAAGGAUCUUGUUAAAUGAAAACACUGUCUCAAGGAAAUGUCAGGAGUCUUCUUCCUCCUCCUUUCUUUAUCAUUCUGUCUCCAAGAGCCCGGAUCCGCAGCGGAGCUCUUCCAUGAGCUGCUCCCACAGGAAUGGGGCCCGGCCAGAAAAGCGCUUGGCUUUGUCCGGGGCACUGUCAGCGCUCACCAAAAGCACCGCACCACGGCGCUGUCAGCUCGCGAAGGAAGGACCCGCACCGAGCCAGCGCGAAACCGCCCCCGGGGCAGAGCCACGUCGGAAGGCAAAAAUUCCCAGUCCUCCCAAGUGCACACCCUUCUUCACACCACACUCAAACAGCAACACGAAUUCCUUUGCCCUAACAAGGCUUUUUGCUCUCACAGAGUCUGGCCACAAUCUUGACAACAUCUGGUAAAAACAGAGCUCACUGAGAAAGCUGCCAGCUGAGAAAGCUCUUGCUGCCUACAACUUCAAGUGCACCCAUCGAUUUACCAGAUCCCACCCUGCUAUCAGCACUUUGCUUCUCAGUUCUUCUCUGAGUUUUUAGCUCAGCUCUAAGCCUUCAGUCUCCCAGAGUCAGGAUCCAAACAGAACGGCACCAGGGACUCACACACUGAAGGUCAGCAGAAGCACGUGGGUCUGAUGGCACACUCCUCAUCCAGCAGGGGUCAGGGCUUGGCAGAGCCUGGGCUGGGAGGGUUUCCCCAAAAAUAUCCUACAAGCAAUCUUAUUCAUGUCAGUUGUGCAAAUUUCUUAGAAUGAUACAUUUCUUGCAGAUAACUACGCAAGUUACGUGCAAGUUUCUAAAGCAGCUGUUUUGGUGUAAAAAACAGCUGGCAGAAGUGUCUCAGACAUCUAUCGUUAGCUAAAUAAUACUGAUGGUGUCAGUCACAUAACACCCAGGUUUCAUCUUGUAAACCAACUCUGCCUGAGGCCUGAGCAUCAGCACAUCUGAGUCACUUCGUUUGUUCAGCCUGGGAAACUGGAGACUGAAGAGGAGACCUCACUGAGGUUUUCAAUAUCCUCUUGAGGGGCACUGGAGGGGCAGGUACUGCUCUCUUCACUCUCAUGACCAGUAACAAGGCCCCAGGGACUGGCUGGAGCUGUGUCAGGGAGGAUUAGGUUAGGUAUCAGGAAAAGGUUCUUACCCCAAAGGCUGGUCAGGCACAGAACAGGCUCCUCAGGGCAGUGGUCAUAGUACCAAGCCCGUCCGUACUCAAGAAAUGUUUGGACAACACUCUCAGGCACAGGGGAAUUCCUGUGCAGGGCCAGGAGUUGGACUUCAUGAUCCUGAUGGGUCCUUCAACUCAGGAUAUCCUGUGAUUCUGUGUGCACUGAAUGAUUAUCUCAAACUGGUUUGCACUGGCACUCAGUGCUUGUCUGUAACUGCUUCCAAUUUAUUUCUGCAGUCAACCUCAGGGCAUUGACAGACUGAUCAAACACAGAGUUUAAGGAAAAUGCCCCUUUUUAGGUGACAGUGUCCAAGGCCAGGUUGCACGGGGCUGUGAGCAACCUGAUUUCCUAUGGGAGGGAUGUGGGAACCAUGUGAUUUUGAAGGACCCUUCCAACCCAAGCCUUUCUAGAAUUCCAUGAUUAUUUUGUGGGCCAUUCAGAACAGAUGAGAUCCACCAAAUACUGAAAAAGUUGGCCUUUAUUCUAAAAAUAGAUUCCUCAAAAUACCUAUGAGACUUGAACUAAGAUGGAGAAACCUCAGGAAAGAAACCAACCACUUCUUCAAAAUACCUGUAUUUAUUACACCAAAACUCAAACUCCAAGCAGCUCACGUAUUUCUUUUCCUUCUAGGUCAUCCCAAAUGUGACAACAGCGAGACAAAAAUGUUUGUAUGUAUCCAAACAAAACCACAAAAUCAAAGUCCAAUAAAGGUAUGUUCAUACAAAACUCA